CUAGAUGCUUCAGGUUUUUUAAUCAGUGUAGACAUACCUGUGUGCUAAGCCACAUUUAUGCUGGACUUAACUGUGUCCGAAAACAGAAUUUGAAUUUGGUUUUAAAAAUACUGCAGUUCUAGCUAAACUCUGCAGUACCAGACUGGGUUUGAGUGUAGUGGUGUAUGUGUGUUGAUACUGAAAAAAAUAAAAAGGUGUGUGGUCGUGGUAGAGUGGGGGUGGCACAAGUGUAGGUGAGACAAGUUCAUGGUUUGUGAAAUCCAAACAUUUAAAAUAUAUCAUGCACGUGAAAGAGAAAUGGUUUUCUGACUUUUUAUGAUGUAUGAAGGUGGCUUUUUUGUUACUGUUCUGUUUGGAUUUUUACCCUGGUUUCCUGGAAGACCAUAAGGGUAAGUGGAGAACUCUGAUAUCUAUGAUUUGAAACCUAACUGAGAAAAGUUGCAGGCUUUUUGUUUGUUUUUUGUAAUUCAGACGAUUUAAAACUAUUGUUUUUGUUAACACCCAUUUAACUCAAAUACACAAUAGACAAUUCAGAAGAAAGCUCUUUUGCUAAAGAUUGAAGACCACCUUCAAUUAAAAGCCAAGAAACCACAUCUCUGGAUUCUUCGGAAAAAAAACAGGGGAGAUGAGACAACAUUACUGACAUUUCUAAGCUUAAAAAAUAAGUAUAAAUUUUGUUGAAGUUUUUUCUAUAUACAAUUACACACAAAAGGAGACUAACCCAAUGUCCAUCUCUUGACCCACCUACCAUUGAAGUCAACUUUAAAAAGCAGCUUCCAGUGUCUCAUUUCCCACUAGCUUCCUUGGAACGUAGGCUUGAGCACAGUAAAUCCUCUUUACUGACUGCUUCUUAAUACGUAGUAUCUAUUCCUUUUCAAUUUCGUAUAAUUCCCUAUCCCUCUUUCCCCAAACGCCCCCUUCCUUCUCUUUCUUUCAGUCCUGAAUUCUAGAUUUCCAGUCCUCACAAGAAGUGAUAUUCAGUCCUUGGAACAAGUGAUUGAUAAUGUCUAUUUGGGAGAGAAAGCAAGGUCUUCUGUCAAUGAGGGGAUGGAUGGUUACAGAUGGUGCAGUAAACAAUUGUAAUUGUGCCUGCGUAAUGGACUCAACAAGAUUGUGUAUUUUCACUUUUCAAACCACUUACAAAACUUGACUGCAAUCUAGUUAGUAAUUAAGGGCUUCAUCCUGCUCCCAAUCUAGUCAAUGGGAAAACUCCCAUUGACUUGAAAGAUGCAGGAUAAAGACUGAAGCUCUCAAACAAAACAAGGAAGGUGAAACUACAAAAGACAAAGUAAACGAUUAUGCUACUAAAUAUGGAACUUGCUCCCAUCAGAGACCUGAGUUCAGGUAUUAUCAACCAAAGCUAAGUUAAAGUUCCCCUGUUUGGAGUCCAGAGUGAAACUAAUGCAAAUCAGUCAGUCUGAAAGUGACUGAAAAGGACAGUAACUAUGUAAAAUGACACCUUUUUACUUUACACAUCUGCUCCCUGUAUGAAUUUACGAGGGUGGAUUUGAUUUAAAUCAAAUUCAUUAGUCAGGAAGACUCCAUUUAAUCAUAGAUUUCUACAUAAAAGUGCAUUCUUGUUGGUUGUUAUAACCUUAAUAUACAUUCUUCACAACUCAGAGAUUGAUGUA